CCACACAGCGCCCUGCAAACCUGCUGAGUGCUUUCACAUGGUCCCAUGUGAGACCCACGGCCGAUGCCAAACACUCCUGUCCGAAACUGUUUUCAGAGUCAGCUUCAUCUCUAAGCCCCUCCUCGCCCCAGGGUCAAGAGCAUCAAUCAAGAGGGUGGUGGUGGUGGGGUGACAGGAAAGAAUAAAAAGCUCAGCAGCUCAACACAGAGAAGCACCUCCCCUCCCACGGUGAAGGUGUAAAGCAGAAGGCUGGCCAAGGACCAAGGUCCCAGCAAAUGAUGCUGGGAGAAGGCACGCGUCUGAGAGUACACAAGUUCCUGCUGAACCAACUGUGUCCCCAGUUCUUGCUUCAAGAAAAUGUGAAACUCUGCACGAGGAUGCUAGCACGUACGAUUCCUGGCUUCUUGGGAAAUCUCACGCACAAAACUGCCUUUCUCCUCUGCACUGACCGAAUCCACAGUGAGACACCGUGAGGGACAAACUCAGGAGCCUUGGAUACAGAAGUUGACAUUAAUCCCAUGUCAGCUUUGCAGUGAACCCGGAAGAUCUCCGCAGAGGACAACACACCCCUCUUUGCUCUGAAUAAAACUCCAGCAGUUGCAUAUUUCUUCUGAGUUGUGGCUUUGCUGCCCCUGACGCCUUGCUUCAGCAGCCCUGCCCUGCACCUGUGACUGAGGUCCACCAGGCAAAACCAGACAGAAAACCGCACCAAAC
rnacentral:lncRNA from 1 species